rnacentral:rRNA from 1 species
GAAUAUUAGUCAAUGCUCGAAAGAGUGAACUAGCUAACUGAAAUCAAUUAAAAAUAAAUUGAUAACAUAAGGGAAAAUAAUGAUAUUACCUUAUUAUUAGUGUCGUCCAAAACUGGUGCCAGAAGACUCGGUAAGGCCAGAGACAUAAACGUUAAUCGUCUUAAUCAGGCGUAAAGGGUUUGUAGGCGGCUUUAAAAUUUACUUAAUUAAAAAAAUAAAAAAAAAGAAGUAAAAAAUAAAAGCUAGAAUCAAAUAGAGGAUAUAUUAAAGAAUGCUUAGAGUAGGUCUGAUAUCUUUAGAUACUAAGUAGAAUAUUAAUGGCGAAAGCUUUUUUCCAUUAAUGAUUGACGCUCAGAAACGAAGGUGAGGAUAGGAAAUAGGAUUAGAUACCCAAAAUACCCCUCUCUGUCAACGAUGAAUGGUAGUUAUUAGUAAAGUAAUUUUUAUUAAUGACAAUGUUAACACGAUAACCAUUCCGCCUUGUGAGUACAAUUGCAAAGUUGAAAACAAAAAAAUUAGUCGGUUUCGGAGCAAACGAAGUGAAGCAUGUUAUUUAAUUC